rnacentral:ncRNA from 1 species
CAUCGUGAGAUGGAGUAUGAAGUAAUCCUAAGGUACCCCUUGGUCUAAUGAACAGAAAUCACAUAUAAGGAAUAUGCAAAGCGGACGAGCUUGCAUCACAAAGCAAAGUCCAAUACUGCCCAAACUCUGCGGUGUAAAUGUGGCAGAUAUAUGAGGGAAAUGUUA